CUGGCGGCGUGCUUAACACAUGCAAGUCGAACGAAGCACUCAUGACAGAUUCUUCGGAUGAUGGAUUGAUUGACUGAGUGGCGGACGGGUGAGUAACGCGCGGGUAACCUGCCUCAUACAGGGGGGAUAACAGUUAGAAAUGACUGCUAAUACCGCAUAAGCGCACAGUACCGCAUGGUACGGUGUGAAAAACUCCGGUGGUAUGAGAUGGACCCGCGUCUGAUUAGCUAGUAGGUGAGGUAAAGGCUCACCUAGGCGACGAUCUCUAGCUGGUCUGAGAGGAUGAUCAGCCACAUUGGGACUGAGACACGGCCCAGACUCCUACGGGAGGCAGCAGUAGGGAAUAUUGCACAAUGGAGGAAACUCUGAUGCAGCCAUGCCGCGUGUGUGAAGAAGGCCUUCGGGUUGUAAAGCACUUUCGGAGGGGAGGAAAAGAUGACGUUACCCUCAGAAGAAGCACCGGCUAACUCCGUG
rnacentral:rRNA from 1 species